rnacentral:rRNA from 1 species
CACGUAGGGCGCAAGCGUUGUCCGGAAUUAUUGGGCGUAAAGAGCUCGUAGGCGGUCUGCUGCGUCCGCUGUGAAAACCCGGGGCUUAACCCCGGGCCUGCAUUCGAUACGGGCAGACUAGAGUUCGGUAGGGGAGACUGGAAUUCCUGGUGUAGCGGUGAAAUGCGCAGAUAUCAGGAGGAACACCGGUGGCGAAGGCGGGUCUCUGGGCAACAACUGACGCUGAGGAGCGAAAGCGUGGGGAGCGAACAGG